GAUGAAGAACGUAGCGAAAUGCGAUAAGUAAUGUGAAUUGCAGAAUUCAGUGAAUCAUCGAAUCUUUGAACGCACCUUGCGCUCCUUGGCAUUCCGAGGAGCAUGCCUGUUUGAGUGUCAUUAAAUUCUCAAGACCUGUCUGCUUUUUUGAUAGGUAUUGGAUUUUGGGGGUUGCAGGCUGUUUCAAAUAAAUAGCCUUGCUCUCCUUGAAUGUAUUAGUGGAGAAAAGCCAUUGAACUCCAUUGGUGUGAUAAAACCUAUCAAUGCCAGGAGCAAUAUCACUACUUCACUCUGCUGUCUAACUGUGACUGUCUGUAUUAAUUAGUAUGGAUGGGGACAACUUGACCAACUUGACCUCAAAUCAGGUAGGACUACCCGCUGAACUUAAGCAUAUCAAUAAGCGGAGGA
rnacentral:misc_RNA from 1 species